ACCCAUCCAAGAAAACCAGCUUGAGACGAAAGGGAUGUCUUAUAUUCCGCCUCAUCUCCGAGCGGCCGCAGCUACUCCAACUCCAUCCGCCACCGCGGCGAUCCCCUCACCGCACCACCGGAGCGCCACCGCGAAGCCUUCCGCCGGAACCCUGGAGACCGUCCGGAGGCUCCCGUCCUCCACCCCCGGAGAUGGCGCCGCCGCGGCCGCCUCCUCCUUCCUCGCCCCCGGCCGCCGGCCUGGCGCCGACGGCGGCCGCCUGGAGUCGCAGCACUCGAGGGCGCCCUCCGUGCCGGAGCCCGUCUUCGGGCAAUGGGAGCCUUCUGAUCGUGUUCUUGCCCUCAGUCCCGAGCAGAUUGAAGAGGUUAGGUUGCGGCUAAAUGUUGAUGUUACAGUUUCUCCUGAUUCCCUUCCUGCGGCUGCACCCAUUGAAUCAUUUAAUGAUAUGUGUUUGCACUCAAGCAUCAUGAAAGAUAUUGCUUUUCAUGAGUACACAAGACCAACCUCUAUUCAGGCACAAGCCAUGCCAGUUGCUCUAAGUGGGAGAGAUCUUCUAGGCUGUGCUGAGACCGGGAGUGGGAAAACUGCUGCAUUUACUAUUCCCAUGAUUCAGCAUUGCUUGGCUCAACCACCUCUCAGGCAUGGAGAUGGACCAUUAGCAUUAGUCUUGUCUCCCACAAGAGAGCUUUCCCAGCAAAUAGAAAAAGAGGUUAAGGCUUUUAGUAGAUCUCUGGAAGCAUUGAGAACAGCCAUAGUUGUGGGAGGAACAAACAUUUCAGAACAGAGGUCUGAGCUACGAGCAGGAGUGCAUGUUGUUGUUGCUACGCCUGGAAGAUUUAUUGAUCAUUUGCAACAAGGAAACACCUCUCUCAUAAGGAUUUCGUUUAUUGUCCUAGAUGAAGCUGACAAAAUGCUAGACAUGGGCUUUGAACCACAAAUUAGAGAGGUGAUGUGUAAUCUUCCGAGAAAGCACCAAACGCUGUUAUUUAGUGCAACUAUGCCCGUAGAAAUUGAACAGCUUGCUCAGGAAUACCUAAGUAACCCGGUGCAAAUAAAGGUAGGAAAAGUGAGUAGCCCAACUGCCAAUGUAUCUCAAAUUUUGGAGAAGGUUGCUGAAAGCGAGAAGAUUGAUCAUCUUCUGGCUUUGCUUGUGGAUGAGGCAUCUCAAGCUGAAAACUUUGGUCAUGCCUAUCCUCUUACCAUCGUUUUUGUUGAGAGAAAGUCAAGAUGUAAAGAAGUUGCAGAAGCAUUGGUAGCCCAGGGUUUGGAUGCAGUUGUCCUCCAUGGUGGUCGUACUCAAAGCGAAAGAGAGGCAGCACUUCGUGAUUUUAGGAAGGGCUCUGCCAACAUUUUGGUUGCGACUGAUGUUGCCUCUCGUGGUCUAGAUGUUACAGGAGUUGCUCAUGUUGUCAACUUCGAUCUUCCGAGGACCAUGGAGGAUUAUGUCCAUCGGAUUGGAAGAACGGGUCGUGCAGGUUCCAUAGGUCGAGCUACAUCCUUUUACACUGAUCGUGACAUGAUAAGGAAAGCCAUUGCUGACAUGGAAUCUGGAAACUCUGUUGCAUAUGCAACUGGGAAGAUUGCAAGGAACAAGGAGAGGGAAGCAGUAACUCUGCAUAGAGAAGCUAGACUUGCAUUGUCUAGGCUCUCAUUGAAUGGUACUGCAUCCAUAAAUAUUGAGGACAAAUAUCAGUAUAUGCUGACCACAACAUCCGUCAAGAAAGAAGGUGCCGCAGAUGGUGCAUGGAAUGAUUAAGGGGGUAUCUCCUUCCUUGCAUGCCUCAUAGGAUCAACUAUAUCACCAAGUUUUAUCUUCAGAGCUCUAAACUCAAAACAACUGUUUUGUUGGAUGGGCUAAUGCCUAGUUAAAAGAUAUAAUGAUUGUGAGUUUGGGAUACAGUGCCUUAGGCGUUGAAACUGACAGCAGCUUGUUGUAAGUGCAUUGAUAUAUUUUCCCUUUUGUAGUCACUCAGUCAAUGAAGUUGAGGAAUUCUCCUGGUGUUGGUUAAAUGAUGCUACUAAGAUCAGAUUUUGUGGCUUCUAGUUAGUGGAUGUUCCUUAUUUUUAUCAGUAUUGUUUUCUUAUCAAAAACAAGAGGACAUAUAUCAGGUGAAAUACUUACAACCACUAGAAGCUAAAUUUCAAAUGCCAUUUACAGUGUCAGAAGGCUAAAAUGACUUAUGACAGUGUAUAGAUAUUGAUUUUUAAUUUGCAAUAAAGGCAAACAUAUGUGAAUACAUGCUAAA